rnacentral:misc_RNA from 1 species
GUGAUCAAAUCGAGCGUGUCUUCAUUGACCGCUCACCCUUCUCACCAUCCACAUACACCUGUGCACUGUUUAGCCUGAGCCGGUUUUUCCCGGUCCAGGUUUACCAUUUCAUACAAACUCUAGUCUUAUGAAUGUAAACGUUUUAAUAACAUAAUA